rnacentral:rRNA from 1 species
GACGAACGCUGGCGGCGUGCUUAACACAUGCAAGUCGAACGGAAAGGCCCUGCGUUUGUGGGGUGCUCGAGUGGCGAACGGGUGAGUAACACGUGUGUAACCUGCCCUUGACUUUGGGAUAACUUCAGGAAACUGGGGCUCAUACCCGAUAGGAGCUCCUGAUGCAUGGUGGGGGUUAGAAAGUUUCGGCUGUUGGGGAUGGACUCGCGGCUUCUGAGCUUGUUGGUGGGGUAGUGGCUUACAAAGGCUUUGACGGGUAGCCGGCCUGAGAGGGUGACCAGCCACAUUGGGACUGAGAUACGGCCCAGACUCCUACGGGAGGCAGCAGUGGGGAAUAUUGCACAAUGGGCGGAAGCCUGAUGCAGCAACGCCGCGUGCGGGAUGACGGCCUUCGGGUUGUAAACCGCUUUCGCCUGUGACGAAGAGUGAGUGACGGUAAUGGGUAAAGAAGCACCGGCUAACUACGUG